CAGGGAAUAGUUUAGUUAGAAUUUCAGCUUUGGGUGCUGCAGGGAAUAAUUUAGUUAGAAUUUCAGCUUUGGGUGCUGAUGGCGGAGUUAGUCUCCUUCCUUG
rnacentral:tRNA from 1 species